rnacentral:rRNA from 1 species
AUUGAACGCUGGCGGCAGGCCUAACACAUGCAAGUCGAACGAGUGGCGGACGGGUGAGUAAUGUCCGGGAAACUGCAUGAUGGAGGGGGAUAACUAAUGGAAACGGUAGCUAAUACCGCAUACCAUCAGAUGUGCCCCGAUGGGAUUAGCUAGUUGGUGGGUGAACGGCGCAACAAGGCGACGAUCCCUAGCUGGUCUGAGAGGAUGACCAGCCACACUGGAACUGAGACACGGUCCAGACUCCGACGGGAGGCAGCAGUGGGGAAUAUUGCACAAUGGGCGCAAGCCUGAUGCAGCCAUGCCGCGUGUAUGAAGAAGGCCUUCGGGUUGUAAAGUACUUUCAGCGGGGAGGCGUUACCCGCAGAAGAAGCACCGGCUAACUCCGUGCCAGCAGCCGCGGUAAUAC